rnacentral:rRNA from 1 species
AUUGAACGCUGGCGGCAGGCCUAACACAUGCAAGUCGAACGAGCGGCGGACGGGUGAGUAAUGUCUGGGAAACUGCCCGAUGGAGGGGGAUAACUACUGGAAACGGUAGCUAAUACCGCAUACCAUCAGAUGAACCCAUAUGGGAUUAGCUGGUUGGUGGGGUAAAGGCUCACCUAGGCGACGAUCCCUAGCUGGUCUGAGAGGAUGACCAUCCACACUGGGACUGAGACACGGCCCAGACGCCUACGGGAGGCAGCAGGGGGGAAUAUUGCACAAGGGGCGCAAGCCUGAUGCAGCCAUGCCGCGUGUAUGAAGAAGGCCUUAGGGUUGUAAAGUACUUUCAGCGGGGAGGCGUUACCCGCAGAAGAAGCACCGGCUAACUCCGUGCCAGCAGCCGCGGUAAUAC